rnacentral:rRNA from 1 species
AUGUUUCUAAUAUUUACAGGGAUUUCCUUUAUAGGAAUAAUGCUCAUGGACGAGCUGCAGCGGGACAACUUGGAGAGCAAGUACUUUGAGGACAAGAUCAAGGAGAACCAAGAGAAGAUCACCGGUUACCUCAUACUUCUCGGCAUGCCUAGCAACUUUGGCAGAUCCCUCUUUGGCUUCGACCAAGUUACAUUUGUCACUAGCCAGCAGCAUUUACAGGUGUUGUCAGUUCUGGAAGAUGGAAGAGGAAGAAAAAUAAUUUUUGUUGAACUAAAUUUUCUGUAUUCUGUUUUGUUGUAUGUAUGA